CAGCAGCCGCGGUAAUACGGAGGGUGCAAGCGCUAAUCGGAAUUACUGGGCGUAAAGCGCACGCAGGCGGUCUGUCAAGUCGGAUGUGAAAUCCCCGGGCUCAACCUGGGAACUGCAUUCGAAACUGGCAGGCUAGAGUCUUGUAGAGGGGGGUAGAAUUCCAGGUGUAGCGGUGAAAUGCGUAGAGAUCUGGAGGAAUACCGGUGGCGAAGGCGGCCCCCUGGACAAAGACUGACGCUCAGGUGCGAAAGCGUGGGGAGCAAACAGGAUUAGAUACCCUGGUAGUCCACGCCGUAAACGAUGUCGAUUUGGAGGUUGUGCCCUUGAGGCGUGGCUUCCGGAGCUAACGCGUUAAAUCGACCGCCUGGGGAGUACGGCCGCAAGGUUAAAACUCAAAUGAAUUGACGGGGGCCCGCACAAGCGGUGGAGCAUGUGGUUUAAUUCGAUGCAACGCGAAGAACCUUACCUGGUCUUGACAUCCACAGAACUUUCCAGAGAUGGAUUGGUGCCUUCGGGAACUGUGAGACAGGUGCUGCAUGGCUGUCGUCAGCUCGUGUUGUGAAAUGUUGGGUUAAGUCCCGCAACGAGCGCAACCCUUAUCCUUUGUUGCCAGCGGUUAGGCCGGGAACUCAAAGGAGACUGCCAGUGAUAAACUGGAGGAAGGUGGGGAUGACGUCAAGUCAUCAUGGCCCUUACGACCAGGGCUACACACGUGCUACAAUGGCAUAUACAAAGAGAAGCGACCUCGCGAGAGCAAGCGGACCUCAUAAAGUAUGUCGUAGUCCGGAUUGGAGUCUGCAACUCGACUCCAUGAAGUCGGAAUCGCUAGUAAUCGUAGAUCAGAAUGCUACGGUGAAUACGUUCCCGGGCCUUGUACACACCGCCCGUCACACCAUGGGAGUGGGUUGCAAAAGAAGUAGGUAGCUUAACCUUCGGGAGGGCGCUUACCACUUUGUGAUUCAUGACUGGGGUGAAGUCGUAACAAGGUAGCCGU
rnacentral:rRNA from 1 species